rnacentral:rRNA from 1 species
UUUGGGAGCUUGCUCCCAAAGGUUAGCGGCGGACGGGUGAGUAACACGUGGGCAACCUGCCUAUGAGACUGGGAUAACUCCGGGAAACCGGGGCUAAUACCGGAUAAUUCUUUUCUACACAUGUAGAAAAGCUGAAAGAUGGUUUCGGCUAUCACUCAUAGAUGGGCCCGCGGCGCAUUAGCUAGUUGGUGAGGUAACGGCUCACCAAGGCGACGAUGCGUAGCCGACCUGAGAGGGUGAUCGGCCACACUGGGACUGAGACACGGCCCAGACUCCUACGGGAGGCAGCAGUAGGGAAUCUUCCGCAAUGGACGAAAGUCUGACGGAGCAACGCCGCGUGAGUGAUGAAGGUUUUCGGAUCGUAAAACUCUGUUGUUAGGGAAGAACAAGUACCGGAGUAACUGCCGGUACCUUGACGGUACCUAACCAGAAAGCCACGGCUAACUACGUGCCAGCAGCCGCGGUAAUACGUAGGUGGCAAGCGUUGUCCGGAAUUAUUGGGCGUAAAGCGCGCGCAGGUGG